GUGAAGACACCAUAACCAAGGCAACUUAUUGAAGAAAGUUUAUUUGUGCUGGUUUACAGUUUCAGAGGAUGAGUCUGUGACCAUCGUGGCAGGGAGCAUGGCAGCAGGCAGGCAGCCAUGGCACUGGAGCAGUGGCUGAUCCACAAGGAGGAGGCAGAGAGCUCUUGGGAAGGACAUGAGCUCUUGAACUCUCAAUGUUGCUGCCCCCACCCUCUGCAGUGAAUCAUCUCUUUCAUUUAAGCCCUCCUAGUUCUUCCUAAACAAUUCCAUUAACUGGUGUCUUAGUCAGGGACUCUAUUCCUGCACCAACAUCAUGACCAAGAAGCAAGUUGGAGAGAGAGAAGAGUUUAUUCAGCUUACACUUCCACAUUGCUGUUCAUCACCAAAGAAAGUCAGGACUGGAACUCAAACAGGUCAAGAAGCAGGAGCUGAUGCAGAGGCCAUGGAGGGAUGUUACUUACUGGCUUGCUUUCCCUGGCUUGCUCAGCUUGCUUUAAUUAUUGAACCCGAGACUAUCAGCCUAGGGAUGGCACCACCCACAAUGGGCUGGGCCCCCCCACCCUUGAUCACUAAUUGGGGAAAUGCCUUACAGCUGGAUCUCAUGGAGGCAUUUUCUCAAGGGAGGCUCCUUUCUCUGUGAUAACUCCAGCUUGUGUCAAGUUGAUACACAAAAGCAGCCAGUACAACUGGUGAUCAAGUAUUCUAACAUAUAAGCCGGUGAAGGUUGUUCCCAUUUAAAUCACCACAUCCAGGUUAGCCUCAAACCCUCAAUCCUCCUGCCUCAGGUUAGGCAUAGUGGACAUUAACAUGCCAAGCUAAGUAGUUUGUUAGUUUAUUUAUUUAUUUAUUUAUUUAUCAUUUAUUUAGGCUGACCUAAAGUGCAAGAUCUGAAUCCUGGGAUUGAAGGCAUUUAACACCAAACAAAAAUAUAUUAUCACCCAUACCUUAAGCAACACCAUGAGACCCUCCAAAGGGGAAUUACAGCUUAUUUUCGAGGGCUUGUGCAGAGAGGACCCUAGCAUGGAAGAGCUUCAUAAACAAGACCUCGCUGCCCUUGGACUUCUACUUCUGUUGAUGUUACUGGCCACACACUCCCAGCCUGGAUGGCUAUACUCAAAGCCUGCCAAGGAUGGGCAGCUUUAGAAGGGAAGCUGAGAUAAGUUUUCUGUCUUUACUGAAAUGUGAAGACGUCCAGCCCAGAUAAGAUUUGCCUCUGUGUGGUCUAAUUGGUAUAGCCCCAG
rnacentral:lncRNA from 1 species